rnacentral:lncRNA from 1 species
GUGGGUCAGGGUGAGAAAAAGAAAAAGUCGUAUAAAAGGCGAGAGAAAAGGCUGCGGAACUCAGUCGAACGAGCAUCUCCGACACGGCAACAACUGCUGUGCACUUAUGGUCACCAACUGCAUUUUCCGUCGCAAAUAUAGUUAACUAUGGCGUCAUACUGCUGUUUGGUGUUGUGUCUAGCUGAUGGGCCAGGAAUCAGUCGAUGGCCGGCUGACGACGGCGCCUUUGAGCGGAGUCACUGCCAGCCGCUGCAAGCCCACCGGUGAAUAUUUCGAUGUCGUUGACGCUGUAGACGCUGGCCAGGAGGACGAUUUGGUGGAUGAGCCGCGUUGCAACGAUUCCUAAUUCCCCAAAGUCAACCUGCAGAUAGUUUGGUUAGUUUGCUUUUCCUUCACGCUAGAUGGUCAGGCGGAACAUUACGUAAAACUGUCAUAUGGUGGUGUAGAGGUUGGUUGAGAACGACACGUGUUGCAUCAUUUUGGAGUGGGUACAGUAAUGCAAGGCUUAAGAGGUGAAUCAGGGCAGGGUGAGGAAAAAGUCGUAUAAAAGGAGAGAGAAAAGGCGAUAGAAUUUAGUCGAGUGAGCACCUUUGACACGUCAACAACUGCAGUGCACUUAUUGUCACCAACUGCCUUCUCCGUCGCAAUGAUGGCUAAUUAUGGCGUCGUGCUGCGUUCGGAUGGUUGAUGGAAUGAUGGCUGGGUCGACCACUGGUGUAACGAUGCCUCCUGGAUAUGGCGGAUGCCAAACCGCAAUGCCACCACCUUACUACACAACAUAAAAACACGGAACAGCCGUAUACUACUCCGAGGAUCCCGAGUACCUUGAGUUCCACUCAGUUCCUAGUUACAUUGAGGGUCCAAUUAUUUCACCACCGAAGCGUCUAAGUACUACACCACCAAGGCACCGGUACACGAUUCUGGAUGCUUCCGCAGCUUACUACACCGAGGCUCCACAGUAUCACACCACUAAAGGACCGGAGUACCCAACAUACGCUGCCCCAGCUUAUUACACCGAGGCCUUCAAGUACUUCACUACCAAGGCACCGGAGUACUUCACUACUACCUACGCUGCUCCAGCUUUCUACACCACUACCCACGCUGCUCCAGCUUACUACACCGAAGCAUCCAAGUACUACUCUGCCCCGAACUACACAACUACAACUGAGGCGGCCAAGUGCUACGUAGCCCAGACUUACAACACAGCAGCUGCUCCUUCGUACUACGUUGAACUGUAAUACUACACCGAGGCUCCAGUUUACUAAACCACAACCUACGCUACACCUAGAUAUUACGACGAAUCCCCCAACUACUACUAUAUCGAAAAGGCCACACAUUACACCAUCACGUACACUGCCCCAGUUUACUUCACUAAGUAUGACUCUGCUCCAAGCUACUACCAAACUGAGGCUCCUGUUUACUACACCAAGGCCACCGGGUAUUACACUACAACCAAAUGUUAACUAUGGCGUCGUGCUACUGUUGGAUGUUGUAUCCUUGUCAACGCCGCCUUCUUAUAACACAACAACAUACGCAACAAUCGGUUACUUCACCACCAAUUCCCCGGAGUAUAAUCCACAACUGAUGUCCCGAAUUACUACACCGAGGCCCCAAAGUAUAACACCACCAAGGCACCCGAGUACUUCACCACCGUUACCAUUUCCCGAACUACACCACCAAGGCAGCGGAGUACUACACCACCAAGGCAGCGGAGUACUACACCACCAAGGCAGCGGAGUACUACACCACCAAGGCAGCGGAGUACUACACCACCAAGGCACCCUAGUAUUAUUUCACUACUGAGGCUGCUCCAACCUACUGCAUUGAAGCUGCGAAGUAUUCCACUGCCCUGAGUUACUACACCAUUAAGGCACCUGAAUGUUACAUCACAACCUUCGCUUCUCCAGUUAACUACAGGAAGGCUCUUAAAUACUAGAACCGAAAUUUCUGAUUUAUCUAACUGUGUUCAGCUUUGUCGGUUAUAUCUUAAUAGUUACUAGUCACUUGGAAUCGUUGAUCUUAAAUGAGAAAAUAAAUUGUUUUAUGGUAA